AUUGAACGCUGGCGGCAGGCCUAACACAUGCAAGUCGAGCGGUAGAGAGAAGCUUGCUUCUCUUGAGAGCGGCGGACGGGUGAGUAAAGCCUAGGAAUCUGCCUGGUAGUGGGGGAUAACGUUCGGAAACGGACGCUAAUACCGCAUACGUCCUACGGAAGAAAGCAGGGGACCUUCGGGCCUUGCGCUAUCAGAUGAGCCUAGGUCGGAUUAGCUAGUUGGUGAGGUAAUGGCUCACCAAGGCGACGAUCCGUAACUGGUCUGAGAGGAUGAUCAGUCACACUGGAACUGAGACACGGUCCAGACUCCUACGGGAGGUAGCAGUGGGGAAUAUUGGACAAUGGGCGAAAGCCUGAUCCAGCCAUGCCGCGUGUGUGAAGAAGGUCUUCGGAUUGUAAAGCACUUUAAGUUGGGAGGAAGGGCAUUAACCUAAUACGUUAGUGUUUUGACGUUACCGACAGAAUAAGCACCGGCUAACUCUGUGCCAGCCGCCGCCGUAA
rnacentral:rRNA from 1 species